rnacentral:rRNA from 1 species
GACGAACGCUGGCGGCGUGCUUAACACAUGCAAGUCGAACGGAAAGGCCCUGCUUUUGUGGGGUGCUCGAGUGGCGAACGGGUGAGUAACACGUGAGUAACCUGCCCUUGACUUUGGGAUAACUUCAGGAAACUGGGGCUAAUAACGGAUAGGAGCUCCUGCUGCAUGGUGGGGGUUGGAAAGUUUCGGCGGUUGGGGAUGGACUCGCGGCUUAUCAGCUUGUUGGUGGGGUAGUGGCUUACCAAGGCUUUGACGGGUAGCCGGCCUGAGAGGGUGACCGGCCACAUUGGGACUGAGAUACGGCCCAGACUCCUACGGGAGGCAGCAGUGGGGAAUAUUGCACAAUGGGCGGAAGCCUGAUGCAGCAACGCCGCGUGCGGGAUGACGGCCUUCGGGUUGUAAACCUCUUUCGCCUGUGACGAAGCGUGAGUGACGGUAAUGGGUAAAGAAGCACCGGCUAACUACGUG